GACGAACGCUGGCGGCGUGCCUAAUACAUGCAAGUCGAACGCAGUGGGGACGGGGGAGUAACACGUGGGUAACCUCCCAUCAGAGGGGAUAACACUUGGAAACAGGUGCUAAACCGAUACUGAUGGAUGGACCCGCGGUGCAUUAGCUAGUUGGUGAGGUAACGGCUCACCAAGGCCACGAUGAAUAGCCGGCCUGAGGGGGUGAUCGGCCACACUGGGACGGGGACACGGCCCAGACUCCUCCGGGAGGCAGCAGUAGGGAAUAUUGGGCAAUGGGCGAAAGUCUGACCGAGCAACGCGGCGUGAGUGAAGAAGGUUUUCGGAUCGUAAAACUCUGUUGUUAGAGAGGCGGUAUCUAACCAGAAAGCCCCGGCUAACUACGUGCCAGCAGCCGCGGUAAUUC
rnacentral:rRNA from 1 species